AGCUUUGCGCAGUGGCGAUAUCGUAACCAACGAGGUUUUACCGAGAUGCGAUUAUUGCUAGUUGAAAAAAAAGGAUCUACGCAAUACGGCCCUUUUCCGAUGCAACAAUCUCUUAACUUUGUUAACGGUUUUGAUCG